AUUGAACGCUGGCGGCAGGCCUAACACAUGCAAGUCGAGCGGAUGAGAGGAGCUUGCUCCUCGAUUCAGCGGCGGACGGGUGAGUAAUGCCUAGGAAUCUGCCUAGUAGUGGGGGACAACGUUUCGAAAGGAACGCUAAUACCGCAUACGUCCUACGGGAGAAAGUGGGGGAUCUUCGGACCUCACGCUAUUAGAUGAGCCUAGGUCGGAUUAGCUAGUUGGUAGGGUUAAGGCCUACCAAGGCGACGAUCCGUAACUGGUCUGAGAGGAUGAUCAGUCACACUGGAACUGAGACACGGUCCAGACUCCUACGGGAGGCAGCAGUGGGGAAUAUUGGACAAUGGGCGAAAGCCUGAUCCAGCCAUGCCGCGUGUGUGAAGAAGGCCUUCGGGUCGUAAAGCACUUUAAGUUGGGAGGAAGGGCUCAUAGCGAAUACCUGUGAGUUUUGACGUUGCCAACAGAAUAAGCACCGGCUAACUUCGUGCCAGCAGCCGCCGUAA
rnacentral:rRNA from 1 species